rnacentral:lncRNA from 1 species
AUUAGUAUAUAUAUAUAUAUAUAUAUAUAUAUAUAUAUAUAUAUAUAUAUAUAUAUAUAGAGCUAGGCUACUAUACUAUCUAUAAUACCGAGCUCCGGUACUAUAGUGUUUGUUUUCGAUCUUAGGGCGUUCAAAUCAACGAUCCACACCGUUAAAACUGAUCUAGGGUAUUUAAAGUUUUUAGAAAUAAAAUUUUAUAUUUUUUCGACAUAGUUUACCUUAUGAUCAAACUAUUUCAAAAUUGUCAAUUUUCAAUGGCUAUUAUGACGAGUUUGGAGUUUAACGGUGUAGAAAAAUCUAAAUUUCUUCAAAUUUUGAUAGAAAAUACUUUAAAGUAUAUAGAUUAAGGUUAACAUUCUUGAUCUUGAAUUUAAAAGUCCUAUCCUCAAAUUUUAAAGAUUAUUCAAUUUCCACCGUCCAUUUUAAUAUAAUUUAUUUACUAAGUAAACGAUAUCGAAAAAAACUGAAAUUUUAUUCCUAAGAAAUUCAUAUACCUUAGAUCAUAUUUAACGGUGUGGAUCAUUGAUUUGAACGCCCUAAGAUCGAAAACAAACACUAUAGUACCGGAGCUCGGUACUAUAGAUAGUAUAGUAGCCUAAUUCUAUAUAUAUAUAUAUAUAUAUAUAUAUAGAAUUACUAUGCUAUUCAAAGUAUAGAAUAUUUGAUAUUUUCGAUUUUUUGAACUUAGAUAAAAAUUAUACGGUUAGAAUAAUUGCGGUUCUCCCUAGGAUUAAGAAUAGUACUUCUAUGAUUGAGUGGUCUCCACAAGAUAACAGUAUUAAUGCAAAUAUUAGAAAUGAUUAAAUGACUAAUCUAAGGGCUAAAAGUUUAAUCCUCUAUACUUUAGAUAGUAUAGUAGCUCUAAUCUAUAUAAUAUAGAGUAAGAUUAUUGUGCUAUUAAGAGUAUAGUAAUUUUUGUGCUCCUAAUUUUCUACUCCUUUAUUAUGCUAUUAAGAGUAUAGCAGUUUUUGUGCUUCUAAUUUUCUAAUCAUUUAUCAAUUUUGAUGGAUGAUUAGGAUGAGAAAUACAAGAGAAAUUAAGGAAAAAUUCAAAACCUACUUAAU